rnacentral:tRNA from 1 species
GCACUCUUAGCUCAGCUGGAAGAGCCGCUGCCUUGUAAUCAGCAGGUCAUGUGUUCGAAUCACAUAGAGUGCUCCA